UACGUAGGGGGCGAGCGUUAUCCGGAUUUAUUGGGCGUAAAGCGUGUGUAGGCGGUUUGUUAAGUCUAAAAUUAAAGCCUGAGGCUCAACCUCAGUUCGUUUUAGAAACUGGCAGACUUGAGUGUGGUAGAGGCAAGUGGAAUUUCUAGUGUAGCGGUUAAAUGCGUAGAUAUUAGAAGGAACACCAGUGGCGAAGGCGGCUUGCUGGGCCAUUACUGACGCUGAGACACGAAAGCGUGGGGAGCAAAUAGG
rnacentral:rRNA from 1 species